UACGUAGGUGACAAGCGUUGCCCGGAUUUAUUGGGCGUAAAGGGUGCGUAGGCGGCGCGGUAAGUCGGGUGUGAAAUCUCGGGGCUUAACUCCGAAACUGCAUUCGAUACUGCCGUGCUUGAGGACUGGAGAGGAGACUGGAAUUUACGGUGUAGCGGUGAAAUGCGCAGAUAUCAGGAGGAACACCGGUGGCGAAGGCGGGUCUCUGGGCCGAUACUGACGCUGAGGAGCGAAAGCGUGGGGAGCAAACAGG
rnacentral:rRNA from 1 species